CACUGUUUACUUUAUUAAAGAUAGACAGCUGUAUAGCAACUGUUAAUAAGUUAGGAAUAUGUUACUUUCAACUUUAAAUAAUCGAGGACAGCUGUCCCAACUCUCAUGAUGCCAAUGUACAGCAAAAUGCACAUGGAAGUCAUCCUUCUCUGCGCCCUGUUCUUCAUCAUCUUCCUCAACAAAACCUUCUCCAUGUCUCUGAUUUUUUCCAGUACGACACACCCAUUCGAGCCCUUCCCAAUAUCCCUCAGUCCAGUAGUCCACCNNNNNNNNNNNNNNNNNNNNNNNNNNNNNNNNNNNNNNNNNNNNNNNAGCUUCAAAGGAGACAAAAGAACUAGUAUAAAUUACUACAUAGCAGCAAAAUUGAAGGUAUUUCGUUUCCCAUCUCUUCAAAUCUUUACUUAGGAAAAUCAAUUUUUCCAAAUUUUUGGUCAACGCAUCCGAUCUAUUUUGACCGUAUCCGACGUAGAUCCCACACCCUUACCCGUGUCAGUGUCGUGUCGACACGGGUACGGCACCGAAAGUGCCGUGUCCGAGCAACUUAGCUGCUCACUAGGAACUAUUAACUCGUAUGCUCCAAUUAACGAAAUCCUCACUCGCGCUAACUGCUGUCUCUGUAAAAAAAAAAUAGCGACGAAUGAGUCGCUAGCUUAGUGAGCAAUAAUACUUAACCACAACCGUUUUUUUUUUCUUGGGGACAAGUCAGAAAACAUGCUCGUACAAUAAUUAAAAAAAUCAUGAAAUAAAUGCCCUUUUUUUCAGAUCGGUAACAACAAUCAAUCUUGUUUGUUUUCAUGUAAGUAGAAAUCAAUUAACAAUUCAGUAAUAAACUCUGUAAACAUUGUCAUAUCAAUAUAAUUGGGAGGGUUCCAAGAAAGGAUCAUGUAAUAUGUAUCUCUAUCUCCGUGUGGACCCCUUCAUAAAAAGAGUCAAAUAUAACUGUAGGUCCUUACUCGAGGGAAAACUGUUACUGAUGCUAGUUCUACCUUCCCACUAGCGAGAGCUAUAACUGUAAUCGGUAAUCUGUGGAUACAAGGUGCACCAGAUCUAACGAACCUUUAGUUGGCUACGGGAUCCUUCAAAGUCUCCUCCCAUUUAUACUCUUUCUUGUAAACAGUAAAUACUCGUACAAAAGCAUUUUUAAAAUAAUAAAGGGCACAUCAUUUCUUAUCAAAUCUUGUUAUUUUAUUUCGGUAACAGUAAAACAUGUCUAGUAACAGUGAGAAUAAUCCAAGUAACCGUAACAUCUAAAGUAAUGGUAAAACAUAUCUAGUAACGGUGAAAAUAUUUAGAUUAAUCGGUAAACAUCUCAAGUAAACUGUCGGUACCAGAUCAAGGACUUGUCCCACAUGCAAUUUCAAAGCAUCGGUAAUACAUUUAUUUUCAAAAUCAUAUAUAAAUCAUGCAGGUUAUGAAACACAAAUUGUGGUUUUAUUUUUGUUUUGUUUCUGUCUUUCCUUUUCUUUUUCUAAACCGAAGGUCUAUUGGAAACAACCUCUCCAUCCUUUCGGGUGGGGGGUAAGGCCUGCGUACAUAUUACCCUCCCCAGACCCUACCCUGUGGGACUAUACUGGCUAGUUGUUUUUGUAUAUAAAUCAUGCAGGUUAUGAAAACACAAAUUGUGGUAAGAUUACUACUCACAAUACUCGUGUCGAAAUACCAAAUUCGUUACCUCGAGCGAUUUGUAUGUCUUUUCUUCAAUCAAUCUAUAAUCGCUUCCUUGUAUAGGCUAAUUCUUAGUUAAUUUAGAAUACCCAACCCUCAAGAUUUCAUAUUUGACUCUUAAUUCGCUGAAUCAUAUUUACCCAUGCUAUGAGUAAUUUAAAUUAGUCAAAAAUCUUCUUUUAAAAAAAAGGCAUUUAUGUAGUUUAAUUCCAUGUACUAUUCAAUUUCUUUACUCAUGUGUAUAAGUUAAAAUUUAAAUAGUAUAUUGUCUGCAAUGUUUUGUUUUGUUUGAUACUUAAAUUUUUAAUGCAUGAUAGAAUCCUAUGAACAUAUAAAUCGGGAUUUAAAGAAAUCCUAGAAACUGAAGAAGAAUCAAAGAAAGGGAAAGAUUGACCUUUUUGUGUAGGAAUCAACAAUGAAACUUGAUGAUCUUUCUUCCUUCUUGAAAUUUACUGAUAAAAGCUUCUCUUUUCCCUUAGCAUUGUUGCCCGUGAAUUUCCCUUGCGUUAGAGUUCUUUUACCAUACAAAGUUUUUUUUUGUUUUCCUGCUGUGAGCCUUCUGCCCCUUCCCUUAAUCCCUUUCUUUCUUUUUCCUUUUGCCCAGAUUUUCAUCUGGUGGGCUUGGGCCCUUUUAGUUCAUUCUUUUUUUUUUAAAAUUAAUUGCUAAUGACCAAUAUAUCCUUGUCUAAAAUUAGGGGAUAUUACAUCCUCCCCACCUUAUAAAAAUUUGGUCCCCGUAUUUAACUUAAGUACAUGCUUGUAUACAAGAAUAAAUAAGGAUAUAUGGUGCACAUAUCAUCUUUCACUUCACAAGUAGCUUCUUCAACGGUAUGAUCUUCCAUAAGAUUUUUAAAAACCUGAUCUCUUUUGAUCGUAACUUUCUUACUUGUCUAUCAACAAUAGCCAUUGGCUCGUUCUCAUAAGAUAACUUCUUAUCAAGCGGUAUAGUCAGUGCUUCAAGAACUUGAGAGAAGUCUAAUAUACAUUUUUUUUAGAAAUAUGAAACUCCGGAUGAGUAAAAGACAACUCAGAAGGAAAUGCCAAAUGAUAAGCCACAACUCCCACUUGAUCUAGUAUUACAUACAAUCCUAUAAACCUAGGGCUCAACUUACUUCUUUUCUCAAAUCGCAUCACACCUUUCAUAAGGGAGACUCGUAGGAACACUGUAUCCCCAAUUGUGAACAUUAACUCUAUUCUCCUCUUAUCCACGUAAAGACUUUUGUCUAUCAUGACACAACUCCCACUCGAUCUAGUAUCAAAUACAAUCCUAUAAACCUAGGGCUCAACUUACCUCUUUUCUCAAACCGCAUCAUACCUUUCGUAAGGGAGACUCGCAGGAACACUGUAUCCCCAGUUGUGAACAUUAACUCUAUUCUCCUCUUAUCCACGUAAGACUUUUGUGUAUUAUGAGUUGUGAGCAAUCCAAUUAUUGGGCCUUAUCAAUAGCUUCUUGUACUAAGUCGGGCCUUAAUAAGUUAGUCUCAUAGGCUUCAAACCAUCCGAUAGGAGAACAACAUCAUACACUUAUACAAGGCUCCAUACUGUGCCACCUAAAUGCUAGACUGAUAGCUAUCAUUGUAGGCAAAUUCAGCUAUAGAUAUAUAAGCGUACAAGCUACCUCCAAACUCAAAAUGCAAGCUCUCAACAUAUCCUUCAAGAUCUCUAUGGUACAUUUAGACUGCUCGUCUGUCUGCUGAUAAAAUAGAGUAUUAAGAUCCUAUAACCAAUGUUUCUUCGAAAGAUUUUCAACAUCAUUAAAUUUGUGAUCUUCUAUAAAAAUGGAUAGACCCCGUCCAGUUUGACAAUUUCCAUUCAUGUAUAUUCGAGUAUAUUUAUCCUUAGUGUGAGAAGUUUUAACCGGCAAUAGUGUGCCUACCAUGUAAGUCAAUUUUCAAUUAUCCUAUUACCCACAUAUAAUUAUAACUUCUAAUUAUUUGAGGUAGUUUUGUCAUAAGAACUUUAAUUCUAUUCUAUUUUCACUUUGGAAUCUCGAGUUGUUGUAGUGCACCUGCGAGUCACAAAUAUUGACAUUAACAAGUUAAAUUAUUAGAAACAAUGUUAAGUUAAUCUUCCUCCUUUUUUUUUUCUUCACAAAUAUAAUUUUCUUCUAGUUAUGGUACAUCUUAUUAGGCUCAGAAUGUAUAGUGUAUUUAAAGUUGUGAGCUCCUCAAGAAUAACUCAUCUUAACACAUCUACAUCUAGUACACAUAUUUAGUUACCUAGUCGAGUAUACAAUUUCUGUCAAUACUUAUAUCCUUGCUUUUACUAGCUAGAACUUCAUCUCGAUGUUUGCACAAUCGCUCAUCUUUAUAUUGAGUGACCUUUAUGCACUUUACUAAUUAAGACCUUACUUGAACACACGCCAAAAUUGGUUCUUAAAUUUUUUACACUAAAUCUGACACCUAUACCAUUUAGUCUGUGGAUACUCUUAACCAAAAGUCUCUUUAUAGGAGUAUAUGUGCCGAACUACCCUAAUUUGUUUUUAAUUAGUUGUAUUAGCCACAACAAUGGACUUUCCAAAAUGAUAUAGAGUAGUGCAAUCGUAAUCCUUAAAUAGCUGUAUCCAUCUACAUUGCUGAAGAUUUAGAUAUCCCUACUGGAAAACGUACUUCAGACUUUUCCGGUCUAUAUAAAUCUCGAACAACUAGUGUCUCCAGACCCUAAGAGCAAAUACAAUUACAGCCAUCUCCAAACCAUAAGUGGGGUAGUUCUGCAAAUGUUUCUAUAGCUGUGUUGAACCUUAAGCUAUCGCAUGAUCAUUCUACAUGAGAAUACAUCCUAAUUCGACAUUAGAAGUGUUACAUAACACUAUAAAUCCUCUAGUGAGCUUGUCAAACAUAUUAUUAUUAUUAUUAUUGUUGUUGUUGUUGUUGUUGUUGUUGUUGUUGUUGUUAGUUUCUAAAAGUUAAUCUCACAUUACUUCAUCUGGUGGAAUUUUGAACUUUUUUUCUAAGUUAACUUGGUUAGCAGCACUGCUAUUAAAAAAAAAUUCUGCGAAAAUUGCCUGAAGUAGUUUGCAAAGCCCGAGAAGCUGCAAUUUAUGAAGGAGUUGUGGGGUUUGACUAUUUUUGAAUUACUUAUAUCCUUUUAGGAUCUACCAUAAUCUUAUUUUACAUACAUUUCUUUUUAUUUUAUGAGCUGGGGGUCGAUUGGAAACAACCUCUCUGCCCUUUCGGGUAGGGGCAAGGCUUGUCUACAUAUUACCCUCCC
rnacentral:lncRNA from 1 species